rnacentral:rRNA from 1 species
GACGAACGCUGGCGGCGUGCCUAAUACAUGCAAGUCGAACGCUCCUUUCCUCCCGAGUGCUUGCACUCAAUUGGAAAGAGGAGUGGCGGACGGGUGAGUAACACGUGGGUAACCUACCCAUCAGAGGGGGAUAACACUUGGAAACAGGUGCUAAUACCGCAUAACAGUUUAUGCCGCAUGGCAUAAGAGUGAAAGGCGCUUUCGGGUGUCGUUGAUGGAUGGACCCGCGGUGCAUUAGCUAGUUGGUGAGGUAACGGCUCACCAAGGCCACGAUGCAUAGCCGACCUGAGAGGGUGAUCGGCCACACUGGGACUGAGACACGGCCCAGACUCCUACGGGAGGCAGCAGUAGGGAAUCUUCGGCAAUGGACGAAAGUCUGACCGAGCAACGCCGCGUGAGUGAAGAAGGUUUUCGGAUCGUAAAACUCUGUUGUUAGAGAAGAACAAGGACGUUAGUAACUGAACGUCCCCUGACGGUAUCUAACCAGAAAGCCACGGCUAACUACGUG